rnacentral:rRNA from 1 species
CGACAAGCGGUGGAGCAUGUCGGUUUAAUUCGAAGCAACGCGAAGAACCUUACCAGGUCUUGACAGUCCCCUCGACAACCCGAGAGAUCGGGCGUUCCCCCUUCGGGGGGACAGGGUGACAGGUGGUGCAUGGUUGUCGUCAGCUCGUGUCGUGAGAUGUUGGGUUAAGUCCCGCAACGAGCGCAACCCUCGACCUUAGUUGCCAGCAUUCAGUUGGGCACUCUAAGGUGACUGCCGGCUAAAAGUCGGAGGAAGGUGGGGAUGACGUCAAAUCAUCAUGCCCCUUAUGACCUGGGCUACACACGUGCUACAAUGGGCGGUACAAAGGGUCGCGAACCCGCGAGGGGGAGCCAAAUCCCAAAAAGCCGCUCUCAGUUCGGAUUGGAGUCUGCAACUCGACCCCAUGAAGUCGGAAUCGCUAGUAAUCGCGGAUCAGCAUGCCGCGGUCGAAUACGUUCCCGGGCCUU